UAGUCCGGAUUUACUGGGUGUAAAGGGUGCGUAGGCGGCUUUGCAAGUCAGAUGUGAAAUCUAUGGGCUCAACCCAUAAACUGCAUUUGAAACUGUAGAGCUUGAGUGAAGUAGAGGCAGGCGGAAUUCCCCGUGUAGCGGUGAAAUGCGUAGAGAUGGGGAGGAACACCAGUGGCGAAGGCGGCCUGCUGGGCUUUAACUGACGCUGAGGCACGAAAGCGUGGGUAGCAAACAGGAUUAGAUACCCUGGUAGUCCACGCUGUAAACGAUGAUUACUAGGUGUGGGG
rnacentral:rRNA from 1 species